AUUUUGCCUGGAUACAGAAAUAUCUGGUAAAGGUUACAUGACGGUUAUAAGGCAAGCAUAAUAGAAAACACAGAAGGCAUCAUAAUUUACCGCAGACAGCUUUAGGAAACAAAAACUUUCCAGGAGAUGAGCUUUUUCAAACAACUGUCUCUUACUUGAAGCUAGCUUGCCUGUGGAAUGAUCUUGUGGAGUCUGUGGUGAAGUGACCGAGAGAGAUUGGGAAAGAUACUUCCUAAGAAAUACAACAGAAGUCUGUUGACGAAACGUCGGGUGCUGGAGGCCUGCCAUCACUAGCCACUAGGCAAGUUACUACUGUUCUAGGUCUUGCAUUCAACUUUCAAUGUCAGUUUUUCAGUAGGAUCACUAUUUGUCUUAUUGUGGCCCUAAGUGAUCCUUGCAUUGGGCUCUUACUAUUUAUUAAGCCGAGCACUUUGCUUGUGAUGUUUUAAAUACAUCUCUUUUAUAAAGGGUAUAUCCACGCUGCACAUUGUUUCCCUACUGGGUUAUCUCCCUAUCCAUAUACUUUUGUCCAGUACAUUGGACAAUGAUUAUUGCUUAUAUUUUCUCUGUUGGUAA